rfam:Clostridium saccharolyticum WM1, complete genome.
AAACCAGAAAUAACAAAGUAGUUAUUUCUUGAGUUAUGUUACUGAUAAGCAGGCAGAACUCAGAUUGCAUAUUAAUCAGCCCAUUUUUUCCUGGGUUAAUUGGUAUGUAAUCUGAGUUUUUUUUCUGGAAAGGAGUACA